GUGAGUGUAGCUCAAUUGGUUAGAGUACCGGAUUGUGGUUCCGGAUGUUGCGAGUUCGAUUCUCGUCACUCACCCCA
rnacentral:tRNA from 1 species